UGAGGAAUAUUGGUCAAUGGGCGGAAGCCUGAACCAGCCAUGCCGCGUGCGGGAUGAAGGCCCUACGGGUUGUAAACCGCUUUUCCCCGGGAAGAAUAAGCCCCCCGCGGGGGGUGAUGCCGGUACCGGGGGAAUAAGGAUCUGCUAACUCCGUGCCAGCAGCCGCGGUAAUACGGAGGAUCCGAGCGUUAUCCGGAUUUACUGGGUUUAAAGGGUGCGUAGGCGGCCCUGCAAGUCAGCGGUGAAAUGUGGCGGCUGAACCGUUUCGCUGCAGCCGAUACUGUGGGGCUUGGAUGCGGUCGAGGCGGGUGGAAUUCGUGGUGUAGCGGUGAAAUGCAUAGAUAUCACGAGGAACGCCGAUAGCGAAGGCAGCUCGCCGGGCCGCGAUCGACGCUGAGGCACGAAAGCGUGGGG
rnacentral:rRNA from 1 species